CAACCCUCGAACCCCUCCGGGGGUCCGGCGUUGGGGACCUCGGGAGCCCCUCAGACGGGAUCCCGGCCCCGAAAUACAGUGGCGGUCUCGCCGCAGCCUCCCCUGCGCAGUAGUUUGCACAGCUCGCACCGGGAGCGCGGCGCGUCCACGUCCGUAAAACACCCAACUUCUGAAA
rnacentral:misc_RNA from 1 species